rnacentral:rRNA from 1 species
CUUACACCAACAGCGCCAGGGAACUACGAGCUUUAGCUUAAAACCCAAAGGACUUGACGGUACCCCGAAUAACUAGAGGAGCCUGUCCUAUAAUCGAUGAUCCACGUUUCACCUCACCAUUUUUUGCUUAUCAACCUGUAUACCUCCGUCGAAAGCUUACCAUCUGAACGAAUAAAAGUAGGUUCAAGGGCCGACCGUCACAACGUCAGGUCAAGGUGCAGUUUAUAAAAUGGAAAGCGAUGUGCUACAAUUUCUAAACUAGAACAAACGAAAUACUACAUGAAACAUAGUCAUGAAGGUGGAUUUAGUAGUAAAUAAGAAAUAGCGAGUCUUAUUGAAAUUAACUUCGGGGUGUGUACAAACCGCCCGUCACCCUCUUCGACAAAUUUUAAAAGUUUAAUAACCUAAUUUUAUACCUUAGAAGAGGCAAGUCGUAACACGGUAAGGGUACUGGAAAGUGCACUUGGUCCUAUCAAAAUAUAGCUUAAUUAAAGCCCCUCGCUUACACCGAGAUAAUGUCUGUUUAAACCAGAUUAUUUUGAGCCUAAAAUCUAGCCCAAAUAAAUUUUACAAACAUAACCUUUUAAACCUUUCCUAACUAAAACAUUUUUUUAUUCUAGUAGAGGCGAUCGAAAAAAACUCAGCGCUUAAGAAAUAGUACCGCAGGGGAAACAUGAAAUAAAAAUGAAAUAAACUAAAGC